GGGCACCGAGAACUUAGACAACGUGGCUCUUUCUUCCAGUCCUAUUCAUUCAGGCCGCGCCUCUCCAUGUCUUGACCGUGACAACAGCAGUGACUAACUCCGAAUGCUGCAGUCUCCUCCCUGUUCCCAGCCCAUGGUGCUAGAUGAAUUAAAUGGAAAUUUGAAGGACCAGUAACUUUGGGGUGGACAGGACAAUCCUUAAAAGUCCGACUCCUUGUUUUCUCCUGCCUCCUCUGAAGCAUGUACUGGUUUAGCUAAUGAAAUUGCAUAUUUAUCAGCAAGUCCCCUGUCUAAUAAAAGUGAAUUGCAUUUGCUUUUA
rnacentral:lncRNA from 1 species